AUGCACCACUCCGACACUCCGGUUCCGAGCGCGCCAACACCGUGCCUACCUGAUGACCGCUCUCUACGUGUUGUUAGCC
rnacentral:sRNA from 1 species